UACGGAGGAUGCGAGCGUUAUCCGGAUUUAUUGGGUUUAAAGGGUGCGCAGGCGGCGUGUCAAGUCAGCGGUAAAAUGUCGGGGCUCAACCCCGGCCGGCCGUUGAAACUGGCGUGCUCGAGUUGGAGAGAAGUAUGCGGAAUUCGUGGUGUAGCGGUGAAAUGCAUAGAUAUCACGAAGAACCCCGAUUGCGAAGGCAGCAUACCGGCUCCACACUGACGCUGAGGCGCGAAAGCGUGGGGAGCAAACAGG
rnacentral:rRNA from 1 species